rnacentral:rRNA from 1 species
GUUAGGAAUAUUGGACAAUGGGCGCAAGCCUGAUCCAGCCAUGCCGCGUGAGUGAUGAAGGCCUUCGGGUUGUAAAGCUCUUUAGCCGAUGAUUAUAAUGACUGUAGUCGGAAAAUAAGCCCCGGCUAACUUCGUGCCAGCAGCCGCGGUAAUACGAAGGGGGCGAGCGUUAUUCGGAAUCACUGGGCGUAAAGCGUGCGUAGGCGGCUUUGCAAGUUGGGAGUGAAAGCCCAGGGCUCAACCCUGGAAUUGCUCUCAAAACUGCAAGGCUCGAAUUCGGGAGAGGAUAGCGGAAUUGUCAGUGUAGCAGUGAAAUGCGUAGAUAUUGACAGGAACACCAGUGGCGUAAGCGGCUAUCUGGACCGACAUUGACGCUGAGGCACGAAAGCGUGGGGAUCAAACAGGAUUAGAAACCCUGGUAGUCC